UCAAGUGAGGUAAGGGCAUAUGGUGGAUGCCUGGGCACUUGGAGCCGAAGAAGGACGCGGCAAGCGGCGAAACGCUCCGGGGAGCCGCAAGCGGGCGAAGAUCCGGAGGUCUCCGAAUGGGGGAACCCACUCGAGGUAAUACUCGAGUAUCCACUGAUGAACACAUAGUCAGUGGAGGGGAACCGCGCGAACUGAAACAUCUAAGUAGCGCGAGGAAAAGAAAGAAAUGAAUCGAUUCCCUAAGUAGCGGCGAGCGAAAGGGGAGGAGCCCAAACCCGGCACUCAACUGAACAAGUUAGUAAAAAGGGGAGAGGAAGACUGACUGUUCAGUUGAGUGCCGGGGGUUAGGGCCCACCGUAGAAGUGAGUGAGUACUCUAGGCGAACGGACCUGGAAAGGCCGGCCGGAGAAGGUGAAAGCCCUGUAGUCGAAAGGGGAAAGCUUGCUGGUGGGUACCAGAGUACCACGGGAUAGGCGACCCUGUGGGAAGGCGGGAGGACCACCUCCUAAGGCUAAAUACUCCCAAGUGACCGAUAGCGGAUAGUACCGUGAGGGAAAGGUGAAAAGAACCCCGGGAGGGGAGUGAAAGAGAACCUGAAACCAUAUGCCUACAAGCAGUCAGAGUCCGGCACUCAACUGAACAUGUUAGGAGAAGGAAUAAGAGGAAGAGAUAGCGUGUUCAGUUGAGUGCCGGAUGAUGGCGUACUUUUUGUAGAACGGGCCGGCGAGUUACGGUAGCAAGCGAGGUUAAGCGUAAAGCGGAGCCGAAGCGAAAGCGAGUCCGAAGAGGGCGGGAGUUUGCUGCCGUAGACCCGAAACCGUGCGACCUACCCAUGGCCAGGGUGAAGCCGGAGUAAGAUCUGGUGGAGGCCCGAACCACGUUGGCGUUGAAAAGCCAUGGGAUGAGCUGUGGGUAGAGGUGAAAUGCCAAUCGAGCACGGAGAUAGCUGGUUCUCCCCGAAAUAGCUUUAGGGCUAGCCUCAGGGUAGAACCUAUGGAGGUAGAGCACUGAAUGGGCUAGGGGCCAAGUAGGUUACCGAACCCUAUCAAACUCCGAAUGCCAUAGGAAGGAACCUGGGAGUCAGACUACGAGUGAUAAGAUCCGUAGUCGAGAGGGGAACAGCCCAGACCUCCAGCUAAGGUCCCAAAGGGCAUGUUAAGUGGUAAAGGAAGUGGGACUUCGAAGACAACCAGGAUGUUGGCUUAGAAGCAGCCAUACAUUUAAAGAGUGCGUAACAGCUCACUGGUCGAGAGGUCCUGCGCCGAAAAUGAACGGGGCUCAAACAUGCCACCGAAGCUGGGGCUACCGCGGAAGCGGUGGGGUAGGGGAGCGUACUGUACGGGUAGAAGGCAAAGCGUAAGCUAAGCUGGACUGUACAGUAGAGAGAAUGCCGGCAUGAGUAACGAGAGUAAGGUGAGAAACCUUACCGCCGGAAGCCUGAGGUUUCCUGGGGAAGGGUAAUCCACCCAGGGUAAGUCGGGGCCUAAGCCGAGGCGAAAGCGUAGGCGAUGGGGAACCGGUAGAGAAUCCGGUACCACCGAGGGCCGCAAAGAGAAGUGGGGACGCAGCGAGAUAGGUGGAGCGUGCGGUUGGUAGGGCACGUCCAAUCAGGCACCGAAGGGUACGUAGGCAAAUCCGCGUACUGGCAGGGGCCUGAGAAGGGGAGCCGGAAGGCGAAGCCACCGAAGCAGCUGCCGAGAAAAGCCGCUAUCGAGGUCCAAGGUGCCCGUACUGCAAACCGACACAGGUAGGCGAGGAGAGUAUCCACAGGCGAGCGGGAGAACCCUCAUUAAGGAACUCGGCAAAAUGACUCCGUAACUUCGGGAGAAGGAGUGCCGAAAGGCCGCAGAGAAGAGGCCCAAGCGACUGUUUACCAAAAACACAGGUCUCUGCUAAGUCGGAAGACGAAGUAUAGGGGCUGACGCCUGCCCGGUGCUGGAAGGUUAAGGGGAAGUGUGAGAGCACUGAACCGAAGCCCCAGUGAACGGCGGCCGUAACUAUAACGGUCCUAAGGUAGCGAAAUUCCUUGUCGGGUAAGUUCCGACCCGCACGAAAGGCGUAACGACUUGGGCGCUGUCUUGAUGAGGGGCCCGGUGAAAUUGUAGUACUCGUGAAGAUGCGAGUUACCCGCGAUUGGACAGAAAGACCCCGUGGAGCUUUACUGUAGCCUGUCACUGGAUUUUGGUAAUUCUUGUACAGGAUAGGUGGGAGACGGAGAAGGUAGGGCGCCAGCCUUACUGGAGUCGGCGUUGGGAUACCACCCUGGGAUUACCGGAAUUCUAACCUAUAGCCGUGGAACCGGCGUAGGGACAAUGGCAGGUGGGCAGUUUGACUGGGGCGGUCGCCUCCUAAAGGGUAACGGAGGCGCCCAAAGGUUACCUCAGCGCGGACGGGAAUCGCGCGAGAGAGUGCAAAGGCAGAAGGUAGCCUGACUGCGAGAGAGACAUCUCGAGCAGGGACGAAAGUCGGGCUUAGUGAUCCGGCGGCAGUGAGUGGGAACGCCGUCGCUCAACGGAUAAAAGCUACCCCGGGGAUAACAGGCUGAUCUCCCCCAAGAGUCCACAUCGACGGGGAGGUUUGGCACCUCGAUGUCGGCUCAUCGCAUCCUGGGGCUGAAGUAGGUCCCAAGGGUUGGGCUGUUCGCCCAUUAAAGCGGUACGCGAGCUGGGUUCAGAACGUCGUGAGACAGUUCGGUCCCUAUCCGUCGCGGGCGAAGGAAACUUGAGAGGCACUGCCCCUAGUACGAGAGGACCGGGGUGGACGAACCGAUGGUGUACCAGUUGCACCGCCAGGUGCACAGCUGGGUAGCCAAGUUCGGAGGGGAUAAACGCUGAAAGCAUCUAAGCGUGAAGCCCGCCUCAAGAUUAGGUUUCCCACCCGGCACUCAACUAUACUUACUGGAGGAAGGCAAGAUGUAUUAUGUGUAUGUCCUGACAAAUGAAAAAGGAAAGAUAUAUAUAGGCUAUACGUCUAAUAUAAAGGAAAGGUAUUUAGCGCAUCAACGAAAAGAAGUAAAGAGUACAAGAGAAGGAAAAUGGAGAUUAGUAUACUAUGAAGCAUAUAGAGAUAAAAAAGAUGCGUUAAUAAGGGAGAAACAUUUAAAAAAGUCAGGACAAGGGCGUAGAUGGCUAAAAGAGAGGAUAAAGAAUAGUCUUUCCACUAGUGAGUAGAGUUGAGUGCCGGGGUAAGACACCUCGAAGACCACGAGGUAGAUAGGCCGGGGGUGUAAGAGUGGAAACACUCUUAGCUGACCGGUACUAAUCAGUCGAGGACUUGACCGA
rnacentral:rRNA from 1 species